GAUGAAGAACGUAGUGAAAUGCGAUAAGUAAUGUGAAUUGCAGAAUUCAGUGAAUCAUCGAAUCUUUGAACGCACAUUGCGCCCGCCAGCAUUCUGGCGGGCAUGCCUGUUCGAGCGUCAUUUCAACCCUCAAGCUCUGCUUGGUGUUGGGGCCCUACGGUUGACGUAGGCCCUUAAAGGUAGUGGCGGACCCUCUCGGAGCCUCCUUUGCGUAGUAACUAACGUCUCGCACUGGGACUCGGAGGGACUCUUGCCGUAAAACCCCCAAAUUUUUAAAGGUUGACCUCGGAUCAGGUAGGAAUACCCGCUGAACUUAAGCAUAUCAAUAAGCGGAGGA
rnacentral:misc_RNA from 1 species